rnacentral:rRNA from 1 species
AUGUUUGGAAUCCCAGGCAGUUUUGAUCUGUUCCUUCGUACUAACUUUCUUGAAGAACAAGCGUCUCAUGUAAGGGAUCUGUCCGGUGGCCCGGCAGAUCUGUUCGUGCGCGUGACUGGCGAUUGUGCUGUUUGUGGUUUUGCUACCGGGGAUGUUGAUUCGGGGGAACGUGGUCCUGCUCGAUUGGUGCUAGUAGGGCGUAGCGGGAUUGCUAGAGCUCCUGGCCAAUUGUGCAAAAUAGAACAUUUUGACUGGUCGCAAAAAGUUUUGGGGACUGUUGAACUCAGGGUUGGCAUGUCAUGUGAGGGAUGUGUUGGAGCUGUUAAGCGGGUUCUUGGCAAAAUGGAAGGUGUUGAGUCCUUCGAUGUAGACAUCAAGGAGCAGAAGGUCACUGUGAAGGGUAAUGUGACGCCGGAUGCUGUUCUGCAGACUGUUUCGAAGACAGGCAAGAAGACGGCGUUCUGGGAGGCUGAACCCUCACCGGCAUCUGCUGUUUCGUCCUAA